AUCAAGCUGACAAGUUCCAAAUAGGACGAAACGCGCGUCAAAUCGGAU
rnacentral:hammerhead_ribozyme from 1 species